UUAAAAGCUCGUAGUUGGAUCUCGGGUCCAGGCGUGCGGUCCGCCUCGAGGCGGAUACUGCUCGUCCUGACCUAGCCGCCGUGGUGCUCCCUUGGUGCUCUUGACUGAGUGUCUCGGGCGGCCCCUACCUUUACCUUUAAAAAUUUAAAUUGUCCAGGCCGGCCCUGUCGCCUGCAAUAAUGCUGCAUGGAAUAAUGGAAUAGGACCUCGGUUCUAUUGCCUUUGUUUUGGGAGCCCGUGGUGAUGUUAUUGAGGGACACAGCGGGGCGUUCGCUACAGCGCCGCUAGAGAUGAAAUUCUUGUAUAUCCCCACGACAAAAAACAGCGCAAA
rnacentral:rRNA from 1 species